rnacentral:rRNA from 1 species
GCGUGGAGACAGGUGGUGCAUGGCUGUCGUCAGCUCGUGUCGUGAGAUGUUGGGUUAAGUCCCGCAACGAGCGCAACCCUCACCCCUUGUUGCCAUCAGGUGAUGCUGGGCACUCUAGGGGAACUGCCCCGGUCAACGGGGAGGAAGGUGGGGAUGACGUCAAGUCAUCAUGCCCCUUACGUCCUGGGCUACACACGUGCUACAAUGGCCGGUACAAAGGGAUGCAAUACCGCGAGGUGGAGCUAAACCCAGAAAGCCGGUCUAAGUUCAGAUUGGAGUCUGCAACUCGACUCCAUGAAGGAGGAAUCGCUAGUAAUCGCGCAUCAGCACGGCGCGGUGAAUACGUUCCCGGGCCUUGUACACACCGCCCGUCACACCACGAAAGCCAGCUGUACUCGAAGUCGCUGAG